AGCGGUGAAAUGCGUAGAGAUCGGGAGGAAUACCAGUGGCGAAGGCGGCUUUCUGGACUGACACUGACACUGAGGUGCGAAAGCGUGGGUAGCAAACAGGAUUAGAUACCCUGGUAGUCCACGCCGUAAACGAUGUCGACCAGCCGUUGGGUGCCUAGCGCACUUUGUGGCGAAGUUAACGCGAUAAGUCGACCGCCUGGGGAGUACGGCCGCAAGGUUAAAACUCAAAUGAAUUGACGGGGGCCCGCACAAGCGGUGGAGCAUGUGGUUUAAUUCGAUGCAACGCGAAGAACCUUACCUACUCUUGACAUCCUGCGAACUUGUGAGAGAUCACUUGGUGCCUUCGGGAGCGCAGAGACAGGUGCUGCAUGGCUGUCGUCAGCUCGUGUUGUGAAAUGUUGGGUUAAGUCCCGUAACGAGCGCAACCCUUGUCCUUAUUUGCCAGCGGGUAAUGCCGGGAACUCUAAGGAGACUGCCGGUGACAAACCGGAGGAAGGUGGGGACGACGUCAAGUCAUCAUGGCCCUUACGAGUAGGGCUACACACGUGCUACAAUGGCCGGUACAAAGGGUUGCGAGCUCGCGAGAGUCAGCUAAUCCCGAAAAGCCGGUCUCAGUCCGGAUCGGAGUCUGCAACUCGACUCCGUGAAGUCGGAAUCGCUAGUAAUCGUGAAUCAGAAUGUCACGGUGAAUACGUUCCCGGGCCUUGUACACACCGCCCGU
rnacentral:rRNA from 1 species